rnacentral:rRNA from 1 species
UGGGGAAUUUUGGACAAUGGGCGAAAGCCUGAUCCAGCAAUGCCGCGUGUGUGAAGAAGGCCUUCGGGUUGUAAAGCACUUUUGUCCGGAAAGAAAUCCUUGGCUCUAAUACAGCCGGGGGAUGACGGUACCGGAAGAAUAAGCACCGGCUAACUACGUGCCAGCAGCCGCGGUAAUACGUAGGGUGCAAGCGUUAAUCGGAAUUACUGGGCGUAAAGCGUGCGCAGGCGGUUUGCUAAGACCGAUGUGAAAUCCCCGGGCUCAACCUGGGAACUGCAUUGGUGACUGGCAGGCUAGAGUAUGGCAGAGGGGGGUAGAAUUCCACGUGUAGCAGUGAAAUGCGUAGAGAUGUGGAGGAAUACCGAUGGCGAAGGCAGCCCCCUGGGCCAAUACUGACGCUCAUGCACGAAAGCGUGGGGAGCAAACAGGAUUAGAUACCCUGGUAGUCCACGCCCUAAAACGAUGUCAACUAGUUGUUGGGGAUUCAUUUCCUUAGUAACGUAGCUAACGCGUGAAGUUGACCGCCUGGGGGAGUAC